rnacentral:rRNA from 1 species
AGCAGCCGCGGUAAUUCCAGCUCCAAUAGCGUAUAUUAAAGUUGUUGCAGUUAAAAGCUCGUAGUUGAAUUUCGGGGUCAGUAAGUUGGUCGUGCCACUGGUAUGUACUGGCCUUACUGAUUCCUCCUUCUUGUAGAACCGUAAUGCCAUUAAGUUGGUGUUGCGGGAAAACAGGACUGUUACUUUGAAAAAAAUUAGAGUGUUUAAAGCAAGCUAACGCUUGAAUACAUUAGCAUGGAAUAAUGAAAUAGGACGAACGAUCCUAUUUUGUUGGUUUCUAGGAUUGACGUAAUGAUUAAUAGGGAUAGUUGGGGGCAUUAGUAUUCAAUUGUCAGAGGUGAAAUUCUUGGAUUUAUUGAAGACUAACUACUGCGAAAGCAUUUGCCAAGGAUGUUUUCAUUAAUCAAGAACGAAAGUUAGGGGAUCGAAGACGAUCAGAUACCGUCGUAGUCUUAACCAUAAACUAUGCCGACUAGGGAUCGGACGAUGUUAAUUUUUUAAUGACUCAUUCGGCGCCUUA